rnacentral:rRNA from 1 species
GGAAGGUCAGGGCGAGCAGGGGGGUGAAGAGGUAGGGGGUAAGCUGUGUUCGGAAUUAGUGGGCGUAAAGAGGUUGUAGGUGGCUGGUGGAGGCUGACGUGAAAGCCCUAGGCGUAACGUUGGGUCUUCGGUGGAGACGAGCAGGCUAGAGGUAGGUAGAGGGAAGCGGAAUUCCUGGUGUAGCGGUGAAAUGCGCAGAUAUCAGGAGGAACACCGGUGGCGAAGGCGACCUGCUGGGCCUUACCUGACGCUGAAGAGCGAAAGCGUGGGGAGCGAACAGGAUUAGAUACCCCAGUAGUC